ensembl:lncRNA
AACCAUUUAUCCUCCUCUCUUCGCUGCAGCAGGAACGUUCUGGACCACACCAGGCACAGCCUGGGAUCUUCACUGUUUGGUCCUGACAUCCAGCCGUCGGCAUAAUCAUGGCCCAAGGACCCAGGAUCACCAGAUGAUCCUCUUGCUGUAGCAUCAGAAGUACAGCCAUCUUCUUAACUACAACGGUUUACUGAGCUGAGACUAUGAUUUUUCUUCCUUCUGCUCAAGAGGAGGCUGAUUAACAGAAACCAGUGGUUUACAGAAGAUGGACUGGCAGGCCCUGAGGUUAGGGGCCGGUCUGCUCAGCACAGGUUACACCUAGUUCUCAGUGUCCUGGGCUUCCUUUUUUCAAGAGUCGUUUGGGCUCUUGUAGACUGUGUUCACGUGCACAUCACAUUUGCUAAUUCUGGGAACUGAGAAGAUUUGCCAAUAAGCUUCUUGGAGAUGGAUGACUUCUUAAAUGUCAAAUGCAACAUUGAAUCAUUAAAUUGUGC